UCAUUGCCAUCGGCUGUACCAUUGUCAGAUUUCAUAAGCUAAGCUAGAUGGGCCUGGUUAGUAUUGGGUUGGAAGACCUCAAAGGAAACCAAGUCCAUGAA
rnacentral:rRNA from 1 species